rnacentral:rRNA from 1 species
UACGUGGGGUGCGAGCGUUAAUCGGAAUUACUGGGCGUAAAGCGUGCGCAGGCGGUUUUGUAAGCCAGAUGUGAAAGCCCCGGGCUUAACCUGGGAAUGGCAUUUGGGACUGCAAGGCUUGAGUGCGGCAGAGGAGACUGGAAUUCCUGGUGUAGCAGUGAAAUGCGUAGAUAUCAGGAGGAAUACCGAUGGCGAAGGCAGGUCUCUGGGCUGACACUGACGCUCAUGCACGAAAGCGUGGGGAGCAAACAGG